rnacentral:rRNA from 1 species
GUGGGGAAUUUUGGACAAUGGGCGCAAGCCUGAUCCAGCCAUUCCGCGUGCAGGAUGAAGGCCUUCGGGUUGUAAACUGCUUUUGUACGGAACGAAAAGGUUCUCUCUAAUACAGGGGGCUGAUGACGGUACCGUAAGAAUAAGCACCGGCUAACUACGUGCCAGCAGCCGCGGUAAUACGUAGGGUGCAAGCGUUAAUCGGAAUUACUGGGCGUAAAGCGUGCGCAGGCGGUGAUGUAAGACAGAUGUGAAAUCCCCGGGCUCAACCUGGGAACUGCAUUUGUGACUGCAUUGCUGGAGUGCGGCAGAGGGGGAUGGAAUUCCGCGUGUAGCAGUGAAAUGCGUAGAUAUGCGGAGGAACACCGAUGGCGAAGGCAAUCCCCUGGGCCUGCACUGACGCUCAUGCACGAAAGCGUGGGGAGCAAACAGGAUUAGAAACCCGAGUAGUCC